UCAGAUGGAGGAGGGAGCUGGUGAAAGCAGCUGAGAUGCUGCUGGCCUGGUGUCAUUAGAAAUCCUUAUUUAGACAGAUCUUAUGGUUGAUUACACAAAAUAGGCAACUAAAUGGUAGAAUGGGUAGAAUUAUGGUAUAAUGGCCACAGAACUGAGGCAACCUAACUUCAAAUCCCACGUUGGACUUUUACUAGAGGAAUUACAUAUCUGGACUGAGAAAAGUUCACUUUUUGAGAUGCUGUAGAGCUUGGAGAUUUUUUUGCACAAACUGUAGAAGCACUUAGACAGCACCAGUAAAAUUUUUUUUAACUUUAUUUUUAUUGUCAUGCAAAACACACUUCCAUAAUGAUCAUUGUUGUAAGAGCAAACAAUUAUAUAACAAAAACCAACGAAUAAAACCAAAGAUACACUGAUGUGAAAAAAACUA
rnacentral:lncRNA from 1 species